rnacentral:rRNA from 1 species
AGUGAACGCUGGCGGUAGGCCUAACACAUGCAAGUCGAACGGCAGCACAGUAAGAGCUUGCUCUUACGGGUGGCGAGUGGCGGACGGGUGAGGAAUACAUCGGAAUCUACUUUUUCGUGGGGGAUAACGUCGGGAACCUUACGCUAAUACCGCAUACGACCUACGGGUGAAAGCAGGGGAUCUUCGGACCUUGCGCGAUUGAAUGAGCCGAUGUCGGAUUAGCUAGUUGGCGGGGUACCGGCCCACCAAGGCGACGAUCCGUAGCUGGUCUGAGAGGAUGAACAGCCACACUGGAACUGAGACACGGUCCAGACUCCGACGGGAGGCAGCGGUGGGGAAUAUUGGACGAUGGGCGCAAGCCUGAUCCAGCCAUACCGGGUGGGUGAAGAAGGCCUUCGGGUUGUAUAGCCCUUUUGUUGUGAAAGAAAAGCAGCAGGUUAAUACCCCGUUGUUCUGACGGUACCCAAAUAAUAAGCACCGGCUAACUUCGUG